rnacentral:rRNA from 1 species
GAUGAACGCUGGCGGCGUGCUUAACACAUGCAAGUCGAACGAAAAGGCUCGUACUUGCCGGGGUACUCGAUUGGCGAACGGGGGAGAAUCACGUGGGGGUUCUGCCCUUCACUGCGGGAGAAACCUUGGAGACUGGGGCUAAUACCGGGGAGGACGAUGUUAUGCAUGCGAUUGUGGAGAGUUUUUCGGUGUUGGAUGAGCUCGCGGCCUAUCAGCUUGUGGGUGGGGUAAUGGGCUACCAAGGGGCCGACGGGUGGCCGGCCUGAGAGGGUGUACGGCCACAUUGGGACUGCGAUACGGCCCAGACUCCUACGGGAGGCAGCAGUGGGGAAUAUUGCACAAUGGGCGCAAGCCUGAUGCAGCGACGCCGCGUGGGGGAUGACGGCCUUCGGGUUGUAAACUACUUUCGCUAGGGACGAAGCGCAAGUGACGGUACCUGGAGAAGAAGCACCGGCUAACUACGUG